AAGAUUCAGAUUAUACUCUCAGUGUUUUUGGUAUUAUCAUUUUACUUGAGAAAGUACACACUGACACAAGCGUACAGAUAUGACCAAAUGGGAAACAACAAUACUAGAACACAAGUUUAUCUAACAUGUAUCAGAGAAAAGAGACAUGAAUAUAGGACAGAAGAUAGAUUUUUCAUCACAAACACACACAUGUUUAUAUAGCACAUGUACUGGAGCUACAUGGAUGACUGAAUACAUUUCUGCAAUAAGGAACAAAUAUACAGGGAUGAACACAUCCAUAUGCUAGCAGAAUAGUAAUACAUAGAAGCACAUUCUAAUAGAUCAAUUAUCUCCCAAAUUAACAAGGCCUCAACUAGUCAGAUCCAACAUAACAAGUACUUUAUUAUAGAGGUACUAAACUGAACAAAUAACAAGUUGCUAGAACUUGUCAAGUCUGAACAUUACAUAACCCUGAACAUUACAAAAUUCUAAACAUUACACUUCUAAAGUUUACAGCAGUUUGAGAUAAGAGGGAGAGAGAGCUUCAGGUUCAGAAGAGAAGCAAGAACCAGUAGUAGAGGCGUAGGGAACAGGAGCAGCUGGCGCAAGUGAGGAGUAGCAAUGGAGCUUGGAGAAGCAGCAGGUUGAGGCACUAUGAGAGGAUUAGGAGGAGGAGCAGUAGGAACUGAGACGUAGGGUGGGAAGAGAAACAGCAGCAGGCACUAGGAGAGGGAGAGAGAUUCAGCAGCAGGUGGUUAGAGAAAGAAGAAGCAGCAGCGGGGGCAUGGAGAAGAGAGAAGCAGCAGGGGGUUCAGAGAAAGCUUCAUCAGAGGCGCAUCAUGCAGUUUGGAGAUGGAGAAGGAGUUCGGGUUCAGGGGAGAAACAACGGAGGUGAGGAAUAAGAGGGUAGCAGUAGGAGGAGUGGAGGAUGGUGUGGUGGCGCUGGAUAUGGUGAUGGAUGGUGUGCGACGACGGUGCUGGAGAUGGUGAUGGAUGGUGCGAUGGUUCGAGGUGGUGAUGCGGCGCUGGCAGCGGCAGGUGGUGAAGAUGGAGUGGAUGAUGGAGUGGUGGCUGGAUGGAUGGCGCGCCGCCAUGACGGCCUGGCCGCGACGGCGGCCGGAGGGUGGAGAAGAAGGGGAUCGGGGGAGAGAGAUGGAGAUAUGCCAGGCCCGAAAGGGGACCGGGGCUGCUUCUAGGGAUUUUGGCCCUCUCCUCAGAUCUGCACUUUUGCACUUGGGCCCUUCUACUUCUCUGCUUACUUCACAACUUGAUCCCUCCACUCUUUCUUUCUUGCUCUUGAAGCUUUAAUAUUCAUCACACUCAAGUCCCUCUUCCUUCUCUUCUUUCAUAUGCUCAUCUCGGUUGCCACAUGGGCAGGAACUUGAAGAUUUAUAGUGCCUUUGCGCACACUUCUGCAAAAUAGACCAAAGACUAGUAAAUGAUCCUUUAUAUGAUUUUCAUGCAAAUAUUCAAUAUUUCACAGCAAGAAUUGAUGGUCAUAUCUCAAUAAACCGCAUAUUUGAGUGCCAAAAGAUGUAUAUGAAAUGUGCUUAUCACAUCAUCAACUUAGUAGAUGAUUGCUUGCCUCCAAAGCACAGCCUCCAACUCCGAGCCAUUUAACCUCAGCAACCUCUCAAAGUUACUGAUCAGAAACUUACCAAACGUGUGAAAUCUUUUCUACUGCAUCUGGAGUCAAACCAAAGCGUGGUAAUCUUAGAAACUACCAUGAACAACAAGCCAGACAUGAUCUUUGGACGUUGGUCAGCCUCAGGAUGGAGUUCACGCGGUGACCACGCGUGUCCAUGAUGCCAGCCUGCGUGUCGACGCGCUCUGAGUGCCGCCGAGCGCUCUAUUUCACGCGUGCUUGCUUCCCCGACUGCCAUGGCAUGCCAAACCGCACCACCAUCUUCGUCCGAACUCCCUUAACUCCCCCUGGCACUUGCUGACGCCGGAGCUCGCCGCAAUGGGCACGGACGCGGUCCGACCAACAUAACAGUGCGGUGCACACUAUGCUCGUCGCCUUCUCCUCGAUCCUGUGCUCGUCUCUGUUCGCCCACAGUCCCUGCGUGAGUUGCGUCGCCUUCUUCUUUUCUCACUGACGCCGCUCGUGGCCGAGCGCAUUGUCCAAGUGUCACCGGCGGAGCCCGAUCCACUCCUCGCCGCUCUCCUAUAAAUGGAGCCACCCCCAGCCUCCUCGAACACCAUCCUCCACUCCCACACACUCCACAAACGUGUAGAUAGCCAUAGCCUGACCGGGCAGGCCACGGGCCGCCAUCCCCGAGCUCGAGCUCGCCGGCGAUCCUCUCGGGUCGCCACGGUAGCUCCAGCCCCUCCCAGGCCUAGGCGACCCUUCCAGAGCCUCCGCCGCUCUUCGGUGAAGCCGUUCCGUCCGCUUGGAGCCCGUGGAGUCCCCGCAAUUCGCCAUCAUCUUCGUCUCCGGCGACCUCCGCUCUCUGCCUCCGCUUGCAAGGUCGAAUCCGACGCCGUCCAACCACCCAUAGCUACGCUACGGGUACGAACAGGUGUGCCUCGAUCCCCUCUCUCAAUCCCUCCCUCUCGUUUUGGCCAAGGAGCCCACGUCGCCGGCGUGAGCUCCAGUGAAGCCGUGACCCCCUCUGUUUCCUUCUCCCCAUCCACCUCACCUGACUAGCAGGGCCCGCUAGUCAGACCCCAGUAUGCGCGCGAAGCGGUAUGAGUGGUGGCUUCCCGAGGCUUUACGCCUUCGACGUCACGCCCUAGUUUGUUUUAUCUAAAUUCAAAUUCAAUUAAUUUCUAGAGAGCUUCAAACAGCUAUAACUCUUCAACCAUAAGUCCAAAUGAAUUGAUUCUUUUUGCAUUGUGUUCUUUGCAAAGAAAUCUAACAGCUCACCAAAAAUGAGAUUUUUCUGGGCUGUCUAGAAUUUCUGGCGAUUUUCAGAAUGGUUCUUGAUAUUUUCUUCUUGUGUUUAAAAUUAUUUUCAGAGGGUGAGGCUUGUCUUGAGGAUCACCAGAAGGCUUGUGAACCUCAUCUCCACUAAGGCAAGCCACAACAACAUUUUCACGGUGCCAUUUCAAUAUUUAUUAUUUUCUUACUUUAAUGAAAGAUUCAAACUUUGCAUUUAAAUAACUAUUAUGUUAUUGAUAUUCUGUUAAGUACUUGUUUUAGUUAAUAUGCUUGAUUUACACAAUGUUUGAAACUAACUUAGUUGAUAAAGAAACUAGGAUUCAUUUGCGAUGAUAAAAGAAUAACAUUGUUAUGAAUAUGAGAAAUUACUUGAAGUUAUUUUCUUGCAUGAGUAAAAUAAUAAAAAUUUGCUAGAAAAUAUUAUGUUUAAAGUGAGGAUUAUCUUAAACAGAAAAGUGGCAUGAGUUGUUGAUGUUUAUGCUUAGUGUGAAUAUAGUUGACUCAGUCAUUUCCGUUAAUAUGUGAUGCAUAUGUUAGUGCUGCAUUUCAUGGCAUACUAUGACACCGGCUAUUUUUACUUUAAGUUGAACCUGAAUAUAACUCAACUUGAAUAUAUCAUUGGCCGGGUCAUGGUGCCACUGAAUCGAGUUUUUCCCAGUGCAACCUCAUUUGCCUUAUGGGGGGCCUUGAUUCGGUCCGUUGCCAUGCCUCUGGUCGGUGCCUCCAACUAGGGAAGGUUAUGGGCAUGCUUACCCUGGCAUGAUAAGCAGUCAUAACCUCGUGUGCCCGUUGUUGAGAUUAUGGUACCGGGUUCCCUUGUGGGAUCGUUUUGGCCACGAUGGUGGUCGUUGUGUCUUUGGUAGACACGGGGCCACCAAGAACUAGCCCAGUGGGGAUUGUGUCGGAGUGGUCGGGUGAGUGUCAUGGCAAUGGAGAGGUUCGUCGGAACACCGUUGGUCCACCCGAAUGGGCGUAUGAGGCCAUGGGUUCCUGAUGUGGGUAUAGUGUGCUACCUCUCCAGAGUGUAAUAAUCUAUCGAUAGCCCAGUCCACAGUUACGGACACGCUCGUAGUAGGUCACACCAUGGGUCAACGUUUAAUAAACUUUGCACACUAAGUUAUGAACUUUGCACUAUUGAUGGUGGAGGAAAGCCAUCGAGAUGUUCGAGACCAAGUAUUGGUCGUGGUUGUGAUCGCCGUAAGGAUCACAAGGUACUUCUAGACAAGACCACGAUGGUGGUGUGUUUGUGAUCCAAGAGUGAUCACGGUUGGUAAGCUAGUCCCGAGGGACUUUUAUCACAAGAUCAUGAUCACAUCAUGUUGAAGCAUUAUUGCAUUAUUAACUGGUUAAUUAUCAUGAUAUUGUUUGUCAUUACGAUUAUGCCUGUUGUGAGCUUGCAAGUACAUUCAAUGUACUGACCUGGCGUGUCAUGCUAGAUUUCAGGAAAGUCUCGUUGGAAAGGAGUGCUGCUCGAAUCUAGAUCAUGUCCACAUUAGUGUCCCUGUGCUAUGGAGUCUCCGCUACAACGUCGUUCCGCUGCCGCGUAGUAUUAUGAUCAAGGCCCUCUUUCAGUUCACUAAAUAAUGUACAUAUUGUGUAGCCGCACCAUGUGUGCCGCUUGGCCUCGACACCUGUUGUAAUAUAAACUAUGAUCCGCUAGCAUCAAUAAAGCGGUUGCUUUCUGUACCAAGAUGUUGUGUGUUGCCAGAAGACAUGGUCUCUGGGCUGGCAAUGCAGGGUAAACCGGUCGCUCUGAGCCGAGGUGCCACAAUGCUUGGUAUCAGAGCCGUGCUGAUUGUAGGCCACACUAGACUUCGACGUGUUAACUGGACGGUAGAUACGAGUCUAAGUUGAGUGCCGGUAGCAUUUGUAGCUGGUUGUUGCAUUGCAUGCACUUGUUUUAUUUUUAUGCUAACCUGCUAAUGGUUGUGAGUGUAGAUGGCUCCGGUGCCAUAUCCGUGCCAGUUGCAGCCGAUGCCGUACACGUCGCCGCAUCUUCUUCGUAAUGUGUGGCGUCGGCUGUACCCCCUCAGUGACGACCUAGUUUAUCGUGUGUACUGGGAGCGUCUAGCUGACUCAGUGUAUGAGUAUCACGCAGUGGUUACUCUGCGCACUAGUUCCGAUUCCAGCACUUACACUCGUACCUCUCGGAGCGGUUUCGCUUCUACCGCUUCUCAGGCUGUCCAGUUUGCUCCAUUCGAGGUCCUUGUCAAGCUUCAUUACAACGAGGUCCAGAUGCAGAACCACUCAGGUUUCUACUACUAUCCUUCUCUACACGGCAAUGGUCGUGUCCGUUUCUCUACCAUUGAUCCGGAGUCUGAUAGUGUUGCUAGCCAUCUUGCUCGUUAUAUCACCGCUAGUUAUCUUAUGAUCCACGAGCUGGCUCGAGUGCUGACUCGUGCUCAUACUGCUUUAGCCGCUGCUUUAGUCACUACUAAAUCUGCCACUACUCCCUCCUCUCUGGGAUUUACUCCUUAUAUUCCAGCCAGUUCUAGUUCCCCUAUUUCACCGGUUACUCCCCUGAGUAGCUCGGCCGCCUCGACGGUGAACCCUCUCAGUGCCCCUGCUGAGUGGGUUACACUUCUCUCUACUCCUGUGGCCCCGAUGAUUCAUCCUCCACCUGCCCUUGAGGGAGAGCCCUCUAGGCAGCGUGGUCGUGCUACCUUUAACCCGGAGGUUUCCGUUAACCUCGUCAGUUCAGGAUCCGAGUCCGCUUCAGGAGAGGACACCGCAGCACCAGCAGAGCAGUAGAGCCUCUGAGUAUCCGCAGUCGUUGGGAUGAUUUCCGGAUGUAGUAUUACGAGUCAUGAUGUUUUGUUGUCUGUAUGAGAGCAGUUGAACCUGGCAUGUUGGUUAUCUUUCAUGUGUGAGCCUAUGUAUAAUUAUGUUGGAACUCUAUUUUCUUCGCCGUGUUUUCUUCGUCAUUUUGGCUUUUCUCGGGCUUUCAUUGCUGGCUUUUGCCAAUUUAUUUUGAAUGGUUCUCAUUUCGGUUGCGUUGUAUUGGAAGAAAUCAUAAUAGGAUGAUGCAAGGAGGCAGGAGUAGCAACAUCCGUGAGGGAACUCCUGUUCGUCAUUCCGCACGACGGGCAGGACACUCUCCGGAGCCGUACGUUCCGCCACCGCCUCCACCACCAAAUCCGCCCUCCACCGAGAAAAUUCUGCGAAUGUUUGAGGAAAGACGGAAUAAUGAUCUGAUUGAAAUAUUAAGAAGUGUGCAAUCGAGCUGUCUGAGGAGGAGGCUGAUGCUGUCGAGCCCCCAGCCAUGGGGAAAGGGCGUGUCCUAUGGCGGGCCGUAUCCGGAGAGCCGGUCCGGUCCAGCAUGGCCACACAGCUGCAACAAACCCCGGAGGCUCCCAUGCGUCAGAUGAGGGCAGCGGCAGCGGGGAAGGUGGUGAAGGUCGCGGUGGCGAAGAAGAAAGCAGUUGCCCCUUCUCCGUCCAAGCGUUCCCCAACUCCACCUGCUUCCCCUCCUCCCACAGGGGACGACACGGAGGUCUUCUUCAACCUCGGAUCCCUUAGCCUGAGGAGGAAGAGGAAGGCAUCGGAAGAAGAAGUGGAGGAUUAGUAAGUGCCUCGACUUUUGUCAUCUCCAUCCCUUUGGACCGUGCUCUUUUCUUGACUUGUCUUCAUCUUGGCAAGGAUGCUGAGAAACUAGCCCAGAGGGUGAAGAGGGCCAGGUCUUCGGCGGGUGGCCAGCCCCCGGCAGACACUUCCGGUACACCACUGGUGGUGUUGAGCAGCCCGGAUAGCAGCCCCCGGCAAAACCCCCCAGCGUAAGCUCAUCACUCGCCUCGUCAACGUGUGUCGGGGGGACCAUCCUUGGCGCUGACUUUCCCAUGAUCGCAGGAGGAGGAAAACAGCAGGAGGAGCCACUAAGGGCUACCCCAAACAUGCCUCCUCCGUCAACCACACCGCCUCGAGGGGCUUCCCCAGCAAGGGCACCAAGCACCGAGCCCAUGCACAUGGAGGAGGAGGAGGAGGCAAGCUUGGGCACUAGUGGCCACACCUCAGCGCCAGAUGUUGGCAGGGAGGAGGCCUCUUCUUCCCAGCCUGGCACGGGUAAGACACUCGCCUUCUGCCCCUUUUCUUUUUUUCUUCUUUCUGGAUCUUGGCCCUGGCUUCGCCUCAUCCCCUUCUUGAUAUCCAGAUCCUCUCUCGGCGGAUCGGGAGGAUGCAGAUACCAUCGUCGAGGAUGUCGCCAAGGAGGCCGCGGCGGAGGCCGAGAAGAUCGCUGCCGAGGAGGCCGCCAAGGACACCGCUGAGGAUGCUACCAAGGGGCCUGCCGAGGAACCCGGUAGGUCUGCUGCCGAGGAGGCUUGCAAGGGGCCCCUAGGGAGGUCGGCAAGGCCGCUGCCGAGGAGGAGGUGGUUGACGACCAACCUUCCUCCUCCGUUGCCACUGGCUCGGGCCAAUACCUGAGGGUGAGCGACCACCUGUUCAUCCACCUCCCCGGAACAGCAAGCACCGGGGUGCCCGUCGAGGGGGAGGUGUUUGAUAAUGAGGUGCUCGCCGCCACCAGGCUUGAGGUUGUUGAUGAGCCAAGUGCCGGUGGCGGAGGUUGCCAGGAAGAGCGGCUCCUCCAGGCCAUGAGCGCCAACUUCUAGAAGCUCCAGGUGCUUCACCGCGCCCGCCUAGACAAGGCCAAGUCCAGGAUGGCGGUGGUGGACAAGGCGGAGGCGGACCAUGGGGAGCGCGUCGCCGAGGCGCAGGCUUGGUUCCGCCAGGCCCACAAGGACUUGAAAGCCGCCCAGGACGCGCUGGCUGAGUGCAACCUGGCCCUUGUCAUGAAGCAGGCCGACAUCGAGAAGGCCCAAUAUCUGGCGAAGCAGGAGGCCGCCCAGGCCGAGGCUGCCCGGCGCCAGCAGCAGGCCAUGCUAAAUUCCCAGGAGGAGGACCUUGCCGCGCGUGAGGAGAAGAUUGCCGCAACACUCCGCAGCAAGGAUGAGGAGGUGGAGAAGCUCGUCGUGCAGCAGACCCAGGAGCUGAAGCCGAGGCACAGGGACGCACUCAAUGCCCAGGAUCUGGUUCAUGCCGGUAAGGUGAAGGAGCUGGAGGUGGAGUGGGACGGGUUGAAGGAUCAAGUCAUGAAGUUGUCCAAGGAGAAGCACACGCUCAACGGUGCCUUGGUUGAGGCGCAGGGCGCAAUCCUUGACAAGACCGGGCAGCUUUCCGAGGCCAACAACUCCAUCAAAGACCUCAAGCUGAAGCUGGGGGGUCUCGAGGGGAUUCUCUCAGAGACCAAAGCCCGGGAGGAGACCCUGGCCAAGGAUCUGGAGGCUGAGAGGCAGCUGCGGAAGAACGAAGCCGCCAACCACAAGGAGUUUGUGGAAGGCGAGAAUUGCUGGAUCGGCCGCCUCGAAGGUGUCACCGGCAGGAUCACCACACAAUGGCUACCAUGGGGAUGCCAAAUGUGAGGUAUACCCCGGAGUGCAACACGAACCCCAACGCCAAGCUGACCAUCUUCUUCGAGGGCGUCCUCGGGGCCUUGGAGCAGCUCCACUCCAAUCGGGCGGCCUCCCCAGCCGAUGAGGCCCGGAGGCUUUGCCGAGGUGCCAUGACCAAGGUUCUCACCAAGGUGGUGCACUGGAACCCCAACCUCGACUUUGACGCAGUGCUGGAGAGCUUGCCAGAGGAUGCAGACCUCACGACACUCAAGGAGCGUAUCAAGCCCAUCAUCAGCCGCAUCGGCGGAAUCGAGAGGGUGGAGGGCCAGCGCCGGGAUUAGGCACCCCAUUUCUCAUUGCCGCUGAAGGUUCAUGGCUAAGACAAUUUAUAUCUUUAGUUAGAACCGCAGCAACAAUUGAUGUAAUAUAACUCUGAAGUACUUUUGAAAACGAUGCAUGUUAUUGUCCUAUUUGAUCCCCCUUUGCAUGUCCACCCUAUGUUAAUCAGGUAGGCUUGCUGACGCGUAACCAGGGCCACGGCGCCUUGAGGACAGAUUCACAAUAGCCUACCGGGUAUGCUUACUUCCAGGCGAACCACCUUACCGCCCUCAACGCGGCCGCUCGAACUGUCGAGCUUGACUCAAGUCAGAACGAUAGCGUCGCCGAUUACGGAAGGCUACCCUGCCGAUCUCGACGCGGCUACUUGAGCUGUUGAGCGGACUUGAAAUAGAGCAAGAGCGUUGCCAAUAGUGGGAGGGCCCCUUUGCAUGCAGGUUUUCCGUACAUAAGACAUGACCUUCGAGGACAAUAAUCUUGUAUAUAAAAAGAAAUUACUUAAAGUAUUGCAUGACUUAGCUUUUCUGUCGUUGCAUGGGCGUCCACCGCAUUUGCAGACGGUGCCAUCAUGCCCGGUCUUCUUCUUCCUUGGAACGACGGCCACAAUGAAACCGCUGCUUCGAUCAGACCAGAUUUUCAAAACUGCACCCCCUACCUGGUGCGCCAAAUAUGUUAGUGGAAAUGACACCUAUGGGGUCACUGGAUCCCUUCUAUGGUUGGCGAGUACGAGGUUGUGCAAAGAGCGGGUCUGACAGGAAGCACAUGAGUCGUUUACCCAGGUUCGGGCCGUAAAGAUGUGUAAUACCCUAGUCCUGCUUUGGUGGAUGUAUUUGAGUGUUCUUGUGUUCUUGAGCUAGGUACGGGGUGCAACUUGCCCAAAAGAGCUGAAUCCCUCUCCUGGUCGCCUCGGGCCUCCUUUUAUAGGAAAAGGGGUUGCCACAUUGGCACAUAGGAGGUGGAAAGGUCUACAGUCGAUAAGCCUAUCCUCUGGGACCGUCGGACAAAAGCAUUCAAUGCGCUCUCGAUGUGCCCCCUUGCUUUAUCGUGGAUGCCAGGGAAUCACGUCCCAGCGUCGCCGCCUCGCCUGGUCUCGACACGCAUUCGAGCUGAUGAGGCAUAGCGGUGCCACGUUGGCUGGCUGCUGGGCUGGCACGGUGGUGGAGCCUUCAUGAAGGGUUGCAUGCCGCCACACAGGUGCUUGCUGAGUCGGUGUAGAGGCCGCCCGUCACCAUGCAGGUGCCUGCCCAGCUGGUUGAGCUAGAAGCUGCUUGGGGACGAUGGUGGAGUCCUGGUUGGCGCGGGCCUGGCAAUGGCCCUGCUGAUGCCCUCGGCAAGCGUUUUGCCGGGGGCCCAGCAAGGGUCUUGCCGUGGCCUUGCAGUCGUCCCCGAUAGGGGUCUUGCCGGGGGUCUUGUGGAUUUCCUCGGCUAGGAUCCUGCCUAGGGUCACCGUCUUCUGGUCCUCAUCUGAUCUCACAUGUUUAUGAUCUUGACGAAGAUUUGCAUGCCACCACAGAGGCGCCUCCCGAGCCUUGGUUCCAAUGUAGUUGGUUGGGUUGGAGCCUGUGGGCUCAAGGGUGGCUCACUCUGCUGGUGUUGAGCAAGUUUCCCUGGCAAGGCUCUUGCCGGGGCCGUGGAGGUCACCCCAGUAAGGGUCUUGCAGGUGGAGUCCACCUUGGUCCUUUGUUCUUCAGUGUUUCUGGCCUUGGCGUUGCAUUGUUUGCCUCAUGCUUCGGUUUCUCUCCGGCUUCCCUCCUCUGCCCUACUAAGUGUGGCCGUGGCGUGCGGCUCUGACUGCCCGUGCACAAGGGGUCGAAAGAAGAGCCAGCCGGCCAGCCAACCUAUGCGGAGGCUAGUGCGGCGUCCGGCGGACCGGCGGUCAACUCGCUCAUCACCGGCGCCACCAAUGAACAUGCAUCAGUACUGUUUGAAGUAAUGUUCAGGAAAAAUAUUGAUUUGAGGGGGAAUAACAGGAUAGAUGGUCAGAUGUGGGUCUGUCUUGUCAACAGUCAAACAAAAUGUGUUGGUUUAAGCUGCCUUGUCAGCACGGACGUGUGGGCCAACCCUAUUAUAAACGGGUUUAAAUGAGCCAAAUCGGCACUAGGUAGUAGUUUUUGGCGCGGAUUAAGAAAUUUUGGGUAUGUUUUUGCUACUUUUGUACAAUACUUCUUCCUAGGGCUGGUUGAAAGUGGUAGCUUUUUUGUUAAAUACUCAAUAUAUUGUAGGUAGGAGUGAAAGUUAAGCUUUGGAAGUCAAUAAGCAAGGCUAGUUACAUAGUGCCUAUGUGUACGUGAUUGAAAGUAAAUAUCAACCAUGAGUGACUAGUAUCUUGAUAGAAAAUUCGAAACUAUGGAAAUACUAGCAUUUUUUGCAUGGUUGGAAAUACUAGCAAUGUUCAUGUGCGUUGCAACGGAUCCUAAUUAGAUUAAUACUUAUUCACAAACUUGAUACAAGAAACUCUAAUUUUGAUAUACAUAUAUCACUAGAGAUAUAUUUUGUUUCUAUCGGAAUAUAUUCCUUGGGCUGUUUUGGUGAGGUGAGGGAGGGAUGUGGUUGGUUUUAAGAUACUAAUUAUGGGGUUUUUUGCAAAUUCGUAGAGAAGUGGGAUGUUGGUGAGAAAAUGCAACAACUUACCUCAUGGUCAUUAGAUGUAGAUCUAAUGGUCAGAAAUGACGGAUAACACACACACCAUCAUCACCAACUUAGUCUUCUGUAGGAGUACUAGCAAUAUGUUCGUGCAUUGCACGGAAUAUCAAGAUGCAUUUUCUUUAUAAAACAAUUGUUGUGAUUGACCCAUGCGGGAGUAAUCCCAUGUGUAAAAACUAAUGAUAUCUCAAGAAAGAGGAUAUAAGAUGAAGAGGAGUGGGGCGUGGUGGUGAUUGGUGGUCGGACUGAGCGGAGGCAUGGGGAUGGACGACGCCGGCAGCGGCCACCAGGCCAGUUUGUUCCAGAGGCUUCCUUUUUUAAUUGCUUAACAAUGAGGUUGUUGGAGAUAAGGAUGAACGAGGGAAAGGCCUUGUAUGCAAAUGUGGAGAGAGGUGUGGGUAUCUUUUAGUUUAAUUUCCAUCCGUCAGAUAUAGAUCGGACGACCUAUAUUGCAAGAUGGCAUGCGUACCAUCAUCACCAAAUCAAUUUUUAUAGAGGAGAAGAAAUAUACGUAUGGAGAUACAAAUGUAUUACUGAUACUUGUUUCUGUAAACUAGGAUCUAUAUUCUAUUCAAUGGCUCAGCAUGUGGGGCCUUAGCACAAUGACAUCUCGACUAUGUAAAACAAAGGUUUUCCCGUCGGGUGACGGUGGCGUGCUUUCGGCUUGCUCUAGUCCUAGUAGUCAUACUAGGUGGUCUAGACACGUAUAGACUUAUUCUUUUUCAUGUCUGGUGUUCGUCAUACUUCCAUGACUGUUGAUGAAUAGACGGUAAGUUAUUCAGGGGGAAACCCUUGUUGAGCGUGUUUGCGAGAGAGAGAGAGAGAGAGAGAGAGAGAGAGAGAGAGAGAGUGCGUGUGUGAUAUGUCUAGAGAAUAAGGCAAUGAUAAGAGAUUCUUUGUGUGGAGGAUAGAGAGAUACAUGUACAUGGGGCUUUGUGUUGUGUAACAUGGAGACACAUAGACAUAAUCAGAGAGUGAGUGUGUUAGAUACACAUGCAUACAUGGGGAGAGAUGUGUGAGUUAUAGAGAUGGAUAAUUUUGGUGUGCAUCUGAGAUAGAGAGAGGGGGGAUAUAUACAUACCUAGAGCUAGAGAGAAUAUGCAAAGGUGUGUGUCCUAAAAGAAGGAUCCAAAUAGAUGGGUGUUUGUGCGUGUAUGUGUGUGUUUGUGCACGUGUUUGUGUGUGAGAGGGAGUGUGUGUAUGUGGAGUAGAGAGACCACUAAUGAUGUAAACCUAGUAUAUGGGAAGGGGGAAUGGUGUGCCAUGUGUGUCAAAGAGAGACAAUGUCAUGUGUAGUAGCGGGAUAGCAUGGGUGCGGGAGGGGAAUAGACUAUUUGGAAGAGACAUCGAGUGUGUGUGGGAGAGGAGUGUGAGAGCUAGAGAGAGAGAGAGCUAGCGACGGAGAGAGAGAGAGAGAGAGGAAGAUAUGGGCCGUUUGUGUCCAUAAGUUGCGCAUAGAUAGGGAAACAAUGUUGAUGUUGUUUGAAAUUGUCCUAUGUACGAAGACGCAAGGGAAGUGAGUCAUCGUGUGUGUGAUAGGGACUUCAUGAGAUAUCUAUAAUAUAUAGUGUAGAGAACAAUGUGCAGGAUUGAAAAGAUGAUACAUUAGGGAGCUAUGGAAAGAGUCACGACAUAUAUGUAUACAGGGAAGGAGCUGGGGCGGGUCCGCAUGUGGGAGAGAUAGAAAGAGGAGAGUGGUGCACAAGGAGACAAAGUGUGCUUGUUUGAAGUGGGGUGGUGUGUGAGGUGAGUGUGCAAGAACCACAGACACCUAGGGAGAUAGACUUUUGGGGGCAAAGUUUUGUGUGUAUGGGAAGGAUACACUCAAUAGUGCAUGUGCUUGGUAAAGAGAGAUGUCGGGUGACCUAGAGAGUGGGGGAAGAGAUGUGUGCAUGCCCGAGAGACAAAGUGAUAGCGACCUAUAUUUGGGUCCGGACUUUGGAAGAGUGGGGGGUGUUAAUGUGCUCGUGUGUUCGUGUCUNNNNNNNNNNNNNNNNNNNNNNNNNNNNNNNNNNNNNNNNNNNNNNNNNNNNNNNNNNNNNNNNNNNNNNNNNNNNNNNNNNNNNNNNNNNNNNNNNNNNNNNNNNNNNNNNNNNNNNNNNNNNNNNNNNNNNNNNNNNNNNNNNNNNNNNNNNNNNNNNNNNNNNNNNNNNNNNNNNGGGGUUGGCUUCAGAUAAAGAGUGAGGUGUCUGUAUUUGAGGGACUUUAGCGUAAUUGAGAUAUAUAUGGUCAAUAGUGUGUGCACUCAUGGUUGAUCACUUUGUUUCAUAGUUUGGACUAUGAGAUAACGAUACUUUUGAACAUGUGUGAUAUACCUUGAUGUACCCGAAUUACAAACCUAAGAUUGGAAUUUUGGAAUUCGACUCCAUCACUAGCUUUCGUAAUUUAUUUAAACAAAGGUACAUUUUAAGCUGGGAUUUCAUGAUUUCAAAUUCAUAUAUCAACCUAGAGAUAUACACAUACACGCAUGUUCAAACUUUAUAAUCAUCCACUUUAUUCAUAAACAUACACUUUUUGUUGCUUUUGUCAUCAUAUUGUGGAUGAACACAUUUGGAAUUUCAUUUGAAUGGGACCCUAUGAUGGUAUUUGCUUGUACUAGCUCAAAGAUCCAUAUUUGAAUUGAAUGGACAAUCUAAGUUUCGAGUUGGAGACAUUGAUUUUCAAAACUUGCACUUUUUUGCGUGCAAAACAAAUAAAUUCUCGGCCAUGAUAUCAUAGUCGACCGUACAAGAGCAGAACACUUAUAAUUUCUGGCGCCAAAAGCUUUCAAACUUCCUGCUCACAUCAAAAUAUCUCGCGCACGAAAGUUUAGCCCUACGAUAUUCCUGUUUUACCCCUGCCACAUGAACGGAAAGUGGCUGCUUUGGUAACUCCAUUAUUUUCCCCUCUUUGCCCCCAACAUUCUUCCCCAGAGCCCCUCCCCUUCCCCUCCCUCCCUGACCCCAACCAUGGCAAGCCGCCAAGUCUAGUCCUCCGUCGCAGUGGUGGACCUCACACACUGCCGGAUCUACCUUCCGCACCUUGGAACCCCCAACUUCCAACUCACCACUUCACCCGAGCCGCCAUCAUGGUUCACCGCAUCGGAUCUGCUUAACCGGCACCCUCGACCACCACAGUGUAGGCACUUCACUGACUCCCUCGUCCGCCCCAUCGCUGGCCCUUCAUACAAGCCCUCGUCCACCACAACAGAUCCGCCUCACCGAAAGCACUGUACAACACGCCUGCCAAAGCCUUCGUGCACCGCACCGGAUCCGCUCCACAGAUGCCAUAUUCAACUCCACCGGCCCUGCUUUACUGACGCUGCAGCCUCAUCAGGUUAUGUUGAUUUGUACUCCUUUUGUUUUUCUCUUCUUUAUCGUGCAAAUGUUCACUUACCAUAGAUGAGCUUUCUUGUAUGUCGACAGGCACCGCAACCGAAGUAGCAGAGUUGCUUCGGUGACGGCGACAGCCAGGCCAAACUCAACCACAACACGAGCACCAUCGAUAAUCCUUAGCUACCAAGUAUGACAACGAUACCCAUACACCACCGAGAAUCAGGUACUAUUAUCCAACAGGCAGCGCCUACGUUCACGUUUUUAGCAUAAGCACCACACUUUUUAAUUUAUUCAGGGCAUCAUUCAAUUUUUCAUGAGACACGUUAUUCAGCUUGCACCUAUAGGGUCAUACUUCUGGCAGUGAACAUGUUACAUGUGCUAAAUUACAUACCAGUGCACAGAUAGUUAAUAUGCUUAUCCUAAGUAUUAGUGUACUUCCUAGAUAUCACUGCCUACUAUUUUACUUCUUGCAUUCUAUAUUUAUGAUAAUGGUGUUGUUCUGAUGCCACCUGUUGGUUCCAUCAGACUGCUUCAUGUUCUCUAUGCUUAAUUACACAUCAGCAAACUAGCAUGUGGUUCCGCUACCUUUUGUUCGUUUUACCCUACAUUUUCUGAUGCUAGCUGUUACAUCACUGCUCCGAGCCUCUGUUCAUUACUUUUUCGUGUGUUCUUGAUCUUCCCAAGUUGCAUGACUAAUUUAAUGCUUCUAUUAAUUAUGGAGCUGCCAACCCCACCAAGCAAAAUAUUUGUUCUUUUGGUGUUGGCACCUCGAACAAGCAUAAAAAUAGAGUGAAGCAGAUAUAUUGUCAUGUAAGCACACACCCUUAUUUCAUUAGUUUAGAUGAACCAUUGAUGAUCAAUUCGAACCAGUGCAUGCAAUUAAAAUUAAUAUUACCUAAAUAGAGGGUUCAGAAUAAACUACAACAACUAGAUUUGCAACCACGGGAUGCUGACGAUAUCUUCAAAGAACAUUGCAACAGUAGUGAGGCUUCACAACAACAUAUGGUAAGCCAGUGUGUUUUAGUACAUGUGAAAUGUAAUGCGUGUGGGAUGCUUUCUUAGAUUGUGCCCUCAACCUGUAAUCCUACAGAACUACAAAUAGUUCAGUUGUCUGCUUUACUGUAUUGCUUGAUUCGAAUGCUUGUUUGUUACUUGUUAGGCUAUACCUGAGUUGGCCUAUAUGUCAGCAGUGCCUGCUGUACUAUCGUAAAGAAAUGCAUGCCUAGUUCAUUUGAGUCCUUAACUUUUCCUCUAAACUUCAUCAUAAGACUAUCUUUGUAGUUUAUAUGAGGCCACACUGUCAAGUGCUUUUUUAGAUUAUUUCAACUUCUUAGAUGCCUCGGCAACUUAAAUAUAGCGGUGGUAUACUCCCUUUCAACUAGGGAUAUCAACUGGGUCCCGUUUAAUCCCGAGUCCACUAGUGGUAUGAUAGUUCAAAAGAGUUUUUGUUUUUUGAGGAAAAUGAACUAGGGAGCUAGCAAAAACUAACUAUAUGGGACUGGCGGAUGCCAUUUAUUUGCCACUUACUUCCCUAGUUUCAUCUUACCAUUUUAAUUUGUUUUCGGGUGAUGCUUCUUCGAACCAUUUAAAUAUAGCUUGCCAUGCUCGGCAAUAAUUCGUAUGACAUUUACCAUGUAAGCUUACUGCCAGGAUCAUGCGAUAACUAUCUCUUACUUAUGUCCAGCGGAAAUCUUUCAGGAUGCCGUUCACACUAGGACACAAUGUACAUCCCCAGAAUAUAUUUGUGGAAGCAGUGCACCAUCCAUGUUACCAGAUGGUAGCAGUUCAGAGGCAACACCGCCGAAGAGAAGUCUGAGCACAGAUAUUAUAGUUCUAAGGCUCUACUAGAGGCAGAAAGAGAUGGUGUGCCUGCCAUGAAUGAGGUAAUCUUGAUCUUGAGGUUGGAAAUUAUGAAAUUAGAUGCACACAUUAUGCAAGAAACCCAGGAAUUGGAGGAAGUAAGAAUGUUGCAUUUGAAGACGGAGGAGGUCCUGCUGUUUCUGCUAUCUGAAGCCCAGGCUAAUCCCGGUUCUUCUUUAGAUACCAGUUGAAAUUGUCAUUAGAUUAUUGUACUUGCAUGUUGUGUCAUGUAUCUGAAUGGAUUAUGUAGCAAGACCCCCCUAUGUUGUCCAUGUGUUGUAAUGAUCCAAAUUUUUUAGGCGAGGUAAUCCUCAGUACUUGUAUGAUUGACAUAAGGUGAACUGUUUUUCGUGUGAGCAUAUUGUAUUGGAUGAAAUAACUGUUUGACUCAAAGUGUAUCCAACCUACUGAAUUCGAAGAUCAUGACAUUUCUAAAUCAUAAUCAUAUAUAAAGGUUGAAUAAAUCUUUGUUGUGGUUUUGAAGAAAUAAAUAACAAAACAUAGAAUUAUCUGUGGAUAUUCAUAAUCGAAAACAAAUUGGAUUUGAAUUUAGUUGCCAGGGCCCAGGGCAAACGUGAAUGCUAAUUCCCAAGUUUUGAAUGAAGCGGCUAAACACCCACUGUCAUUUAUGGGCUGCCCGAAGCAAGUAUUUGCGAGAUGGAAAUUACCGUCUACCCCUGACACUUGACAUCCUUAUCGACCAGAUUUACACUGCUGUCGAUAGGGGUAGACUAGUAACUUCAAUUAGACGUGACAUGACUGCCUCUGAGCCCAUUAAACCAUGGUGGGCGCCAAACAAGGGCGGCAAAACAAAUUUGAUUCAAGCUCAUCCGAAAGACAUGUGUCUCUCCCUCCAUUUCCCCGUUCAUACAUGAUGGGCGGCAAAACAAACUCUCCUCAUCCGAAAUCGAUGUAGGCAAAUAUUUUAAAUAGGGGCAGAUGUGUAACUUCCCUCAGACGUGACACAACCGCCCUACCUGUCAGCCCCGUCCAUACACCGUGGGCGCCAACCAUGGGCGGAAAAACACCCUCUCCUCGCCCGAAAUCGCUACUGGGAAAUAUUUGGGAGAUGCGAGAUUACCGUCCUAUCCCCAACCGACGUGAUGUCCGCAAUUUUAAACGGGGGAUAAGUUCAUAACUUUCCCACAUUUCAGACAAGCGCUUCCCAAAGUUUGAGAUCACCCUCCCCUCCAUUUCCCCAUUCAUACACCGUCGGCUUCACGACAUCGUCCCCACUUCGGCCAGCCACCUCCGUCCGCCACCCCAUCCUCCACAUUGCCGGACACGCUACCCCUACCCCGUCGUCCACUGCAAGAGAUGGACGUCUCUCAUCCACGGCGCCGGACUAGGAUCCUUUCAUCGCGUCCUCUUGCUUCAUUGGCGCCGUCUUCCACCUUGCCGUUGUUGCUCCUAUGACCGCCUCAUCCACAACAACAGGAUUUAUCCUCUGACCCGGCUGUCUGCCGUCUAAAGUCUUCUUCCCCAUUGCCGACAGCCAUCGCACCCACAGCACCCUCAAUGUAUCAGCAGUGGCCUACACAACGUCGCAAGAGAGGUGGUUGAGGGAGUCCUGGAUUAGGGGGUCCUCGGACAGCCGGACUAUAUCCUUUGGCCGGACUAUUGGACUAUGAAGAUACAAGAUUGAAGACUUCAAACCGUGUCCGGGUGGGACUCUCCUUUGCGUGGAAGGCAAGCUUGGCAAUUCGGAUAUGUAGAUCUCCUCCCUUGUAACUGACUCUGUGUAACCCUAGCCCCCACCGGUGUCUAUAUAAACUGUAGGGUUUUGGUUCGUAGGAUAGCAACAAUCAUACCAUAGGCUAGCUUCUAGGGUUUAGCCUCUUCGAUCUCAUGGUAGAUCAACUCUUGUAAUACUCAUAUCAUCAAGAUCAAUCAAGCAGGAAACAGGGUAUUACCUCCAUCGAGAGGGCCUGAACCUGGGUAAACAUUGUGUCCCCCGCCUCUUGUUACCAUCCGCCUUAGACGCACAGUUCGGGACCCCCUACCCGAGAUCCACCGGUUUUGACACUGACAUUGGUGCUUUCAUUAAGAGUUCCAUUGUGCCGUCACAAUCAAGGCUUGUUGCUCCUUUGAUCAUCGGCAACAAUGCGAUCCAGGGUGAGGGUUUCCUCCUUGGACAGAUCUUCGUAUUCGGCGGCUUUGUACUACGGGCCAACUCGCUUGGCCAUCGGGAGCAGAUCGAGAGCUACGCCCCUGGCCAUCAGGUCAGGUUUGGAAGCUUGAACUAUAUUGUCGACAUCCGCGGAGACUUGAUCUUCGACGGAUUCGAACCCAUGUCAGGUGCGCCGCACAGUCACGAUGGGCACGAUUUAGCUCUGCCAACGGACAGUGUUCGAGAGAUCACACAUGUAACUACUCCGGCCCUCAAUCCGGAACAGAUCGCACCGUCCGAGGACGGGUGGAUGGACCCCACCACGGAGGUCACACACUUUACGGCGAUAGAGCCGAAUGCUGACUUCACCUCCUAUGAGACAUGUGUUGCCGAACACUCGGAAUUGUCCCCGGCCACAGACUCCGAACCGCUCACGUCCGUGCACAUCCAAUCUGAUUGGGCACCGAUCAUGGAGUUCACCUCCGCGGAUAUCUAUCAACACUCGCCCUUAGACGACGUGCUAAACUCAUUACGGUCUCUCUCCUUGUCAGGAGACCCUUGGCCGAACUAUGUCCGACUCAAGUGGGAAGCGGACGGUGAAGAAAUUCGUUCCCCACCCACCACCCACUUAGUAGCCACUAUCGAAGACCUAACCGACAUGCUCGACUUCGACUCCAAAGACAUCAACGGUAUGGACGACGAUGCGGGAGACGAACAGGAACCACCGGCCACAGGGCGCUGCACUGCCACCUCAUCGUAUGAUAUGUACAUGGUGGACACCCCCAAUGAAAGCAAUGGCAAUAAGGCAACAAAGGUUAAUCACCCCGAGAAUCAAUCCAAGAGCUAGCAUCAUCGGCGCCGCUCUAAGCCCCGCCAUAGCAAAAACAGCGAUACCGGCACAAGAGACAAUAACGCUACAAAUAGUGCCGAAGAUGAAGACAAUCCCCUCCAGCCACGCUUUGAGUAGGAGGAUGGGCAAGCCAGCCCUAAGGAACAUGCAACAGAUGGAUAAUUAGAGGAUGACAAUUACAUGCCUCUCUCCGAAGACGAGGUGAGCCUCGGAGACGAAGAAUUUAUCGUGCCCGAGGAUCCCGUUGAACAGGAGCGCUUCAAGCGCCGGCUUAUUGCCACAGCAAAAAGCCUGAAGAAAAAGCAACAACAACUUCAAGCUGAGCAAGAUCUGCUAGCGCAUAGAUGGACUGAGGUCCUGGCAGCCGAGGAACACGAACUCGAGCGCUCAAUCAAAAGUUUCCCAAAUCGCAGGUUUCUACCCCAACUGGAAGAGGAAACAUUAAAGCCUGCGCUUCUAGCGUAUGAUGUGGCAGACCGGCCACCUCGUGGCCGGGACAAAGUGGCAUCUAAGCCCAAAGUCCAGCCUGCACCCCGUCGCUAGUCAAACAAAUACAGCAAGGCCCGAGGUAACACGCAGGUCCUGCGAGACAUAUUGGAAAACAAAGCAGGACACAAAAGAUCGACCUUCGGAUCACGAGGGCGCACCCCAACACAUGACGACGACCGUCAUGCCAGAUAUACCAAAAGAAAAUCCGGCCGGGCCGAACACAGUAGACAAGACUCGUACAAAUUGCAUCGUGACAUAGCCCGACAUAGAGGCGCCGCACACCCCCUAUGCUUGAUUGAUGAAGUAAUGGAUCAUGAAUUCCUAGAAGGGUUUAAACCUGUGAAUAUUGAAUCAUACGAUGGUACUACAGACCCCGCAGUAUGGAUAGAGGACUUCUUCCUCCACAUUCACAUGGCUCGCGGAGAUGAUCUACACGCCAUCAAGUAUCUCCCGUUAAAACUCAAAGGACCGGCUCAGCAUUGGCUGAAUAGCUUUCCGGCAAACUCCAUCAGAAGUUGGGAGAACUUGGCAGACGCAUUCCUGGAUAACUUCCAGGGCACAUAUGUGCGACCGUCGGAUGCUGACGAUUUGAUUCACAUAACACAACAGUCCGAAGAGUCAGCCAGGAAAUUCUGGACCCGGUUCCUAAUCAAAAAGAACCAAAUUGUGGAUUGUCCGGAUGUCGAAGCCGUAGCAGCCUUUAAACAUAACAUCUAUGACGAAUGGCUCGCCCGACAUCUCGGCCAAGAGAAGCCAAAGUCCAUGGCAGCCCUCCACUCAUGACCCGCUUCUGCACGAGCGAGGAUAGCUGGUUGGCUCAUAGCAACAACACAGCAAGCAACACUGGCAAAUCAUAAGCCAGAGAUAGCAACGGAAAACCCCGGCGGAACAAACACAAACGCCGCAAACAUGGUGAAAGCACCGAAGACAAGGCAGUCAAUGCUUGAUUUAAUAGCUCUAAGUCCGGUCAGCGGAAAGGGCCACUCAAAAAUGACAAUUCGAGUCCGUCCAGUUUGGACCACAUACUCGGCCGUCCAUGCCAAAUUCAUGGCAAGCCAGGAACACCAGCCAAUCAUACCAAUAGAGAAUUUUGGGUCUUCAAACAAGCUGGCAGGUUAGGCGCCAAAAACAAAGACAAGGGGUCUCAAAGCGAUGACAGCGACAAGGAGCCCAGAUCACCGAAUAGAGGAGGGCAAAAGAAAACUCUCCAGCAAAUCUAAAUGGUGAAUAUGGUAAACGCCACCCACACUCCUAACCCGGACCGGAUGCACACCCUUAGGGAUGUCGACCUAACGAAACCAGUCAGCCCGCAAUACAAACUAGAGCCGAUCACCUUCAACCAAUUGGAUCAUCGGGUCAGCACCAGUCACAGUAGUCCAGCCGCACUAGUCCCCGACCCAAUAAUUGACGGGUUCGACCUCACACGAGUCCUUAUGGACGCAGGCAGCAGUCUAAAUCUGCUUUACCAGGACACAGUGCACAAGAUAGGCAUCGAUCAUUCGAUGAUCAAACCCACUAAAGCCACCUUUAGAGGUAUUAUACCAGGCGUGGAGGCCAGCUGUACUGGCUCCAUCGCCCUCGAGGUAGUCUUUGGAUCACCAGAAAAUUACCGUGCCGAAGAGUUAAUCUUCGACAUCGUCCCCUUUUGCAGUGAUUAUCAGGCACUGCUCGGGCGAACUGCAUUCGCUCGAUUCAACGCGGUGCCACAUUAUGCCUACCGUAAACUCAAGAUGCCCGGUCCGCGCGGUGUCAUCACGGUUAAUGGCGAGGCCGAACUCUCCCUCGGUACCAUAGAGUACGCCGCCACUCUAACAGCAGAAACAAUGAAGGGCACCUUUCAGUCAAAUCUUGAAUCGACGGCCAAACCCUCGGACACAUGCAAAGUAGUCCGAACUACUUCACGGCAGGAUAUCCCGGCUCGUCCAGGGCUCAACUAAACAUUCCGGCGAAGUCCGGAACAUGCCACAUAUCACGGAUCAACCACUCCCCGACACACAAUUAUUUCUUACAUUUCCUUUGCAGGCUCACCUUUGCGCAGACCGGGACUGGUGACAUGGUAACAGCUUGAACACACAAGGGAAUCUUUAGAUAUUUCUCGCGACUUCCAUCUGACUACACUCUGGAUCUGCACAUAGCUUCUUCCUCCCUGGUCCCAGCAGGUUACACAGACUUAUUCCCCUUUUUAUCACAUUAUCUGUACUCAUACGCAUCGAUGUAUUAUUCAAAUACAACAUGUGGAUUUAUAUGACGCUUAUUUUCUGUUAUUUCUUAUUAAAACUCUUUUGUUAAGUGGCAUCCGUACACUGCGAUAUGCCUUUGCUAGGGGCUUCGUUUUACCCAUAAUACGACAAUAAAGUCCGAACACCUUCACGGAAGUUUGGCACCCCGAACUUAUAGCAUUAUAUGCAUCAGCUCCGAAUCAUGUCUUGGGUCAAAUGUUGGGUUUGCCCGACUCCCAUGUUUUGUUGCCUUAUGUUCCGCUAUAUCAGCUAAGGCGGCACACGCAGAACUACUGUGAUUGUGUCCUGGUUCUUCUGGACGAGCACCUCAGUAGAGAAAGCCGAAAACUUACUAUCAUGAUACGACGAGAGCUGGUCAAAUUUUCGAGAGGUUGUAAAAUCUUUAAGGAUUUCUCCCGCAUAAUGCCAUAACCAAUGCAGCGUGUGAUGGAUCGGUUCUUCUUCCGAUUAGGUGCCUAUAGGGCCCCUCAUGCGGUCUUCCAAACACCAGGGGCUGCGCCUACCUUCCUAAUGCUCCUAUGGCUAAGUGAGAAUGAUAAAGCCCUAUAGUCCGAUUGCCUGGUUCGCUGUGCUGAACACCUCCUUCGAAGGACCCAAAACUGGGGUAAAGAGUGAUCGGGUUUAUCCCGAACACCCCCGUAUCUCUUACGAGGGGGCAGAAGCCGACGACUGGCCAACUCUCAGGUUUAAUAUAUAAAACGGCCACGCAGGAGGGUAAACUUUUAUAACAGGCAAUAAAUAAUAGAAAUGACCUUGUUCACACAUUACAAAGGACAACAUGACUAUAUUCAUGGAAAUAUAAUGUCCUUGGUGCAUUGCUCCGCCGCAAGGCAGGAUCCUUUCAGGAUAAUUUCAUAAUACAACUCGGGCUUGCGGUGCUCCUUUCCCUCUGGCGGUCCCUCGGUCGUCAGCUUUUUAGCAUCCAUCUUCCCCCAGUGCACCUUUGCGUCGGCAAAGGCCAGUCGUGCACCCUCUAUAUAGACUGUCCGCUUGAUGACGUCAAGUCGAGGCCAGGCACUAACAAGUCGCUUCACGAGCCCGAAGUAGCUACCUGGAAUCGGAUCGGAGGGCCAUAGCCGGAUAAUCAAAUCCUUCAUGGCUAGUUCGGCCGCCUUACGCAGUUCGAUCAACUAUUUCAGUUGAUCGAUAAAAGGCAUCGGAUAAUCCGGUGCCAGAUACUGCAACCAGAAGAGCUUAUCCACAGUAUUCCCCUCUUCGGCUUGAUAGAAUUGGGCGGCAUCCGAUAUGCUGCGAGGAAGUUCCGCAAAUACCCCUAGAAGAAUCUGAACUUAAAAUUAUAAAGCAUAAGUUUCUCCUCAAAAACUUGCUUUACAUGGAAGAAGGCCUUACCCUCCGUGAUCUCCCUCGCCUCUUGGAUCUCCUGUAGGGCGCCUUGGGUUUCCCCACGGGCAUGGCACAGGGCCUGAUGAGCCCUGGUGAGUUCGGAUUCUUUCUUUGUUAAACUCUGCUCUAGGGUCUUGCAUUUUUUCAUGGCCUCUUGGAGCUCUCGCUUAGCUUCCACAACCUUGGCCUCGUGCUUCUCAUGAAGCGCCUGCUCGGCGGCUGCCUUUUCCUCGACCUCGGCAACAGCCUUCUUCAGAGCCCCGACUUCGGUCAUCACCCCUGGCGCAAAUCAUGACACAUAUUCUAUCAUACUAAAAAUUCGUUCGUAGUGAAUGCAAACAAGAUUUAUGCAUACCUUGUUGAUCUUCCAACUGCCUUUUCAACAGGACAAGCUUUAUUUCGGCCCGCUCUAGAAUUUGAUUCAGUCCAGAAAACUCCGCGGUAUGAGCGGUAGUAGCCGCUACAGACGCCUGCUUACAAAAGAAGAGAGAUAGAUGUCAUCAAAUGAGUCUUCCCACGAAAAAUAUAUUUGAUCCUCUCUCCGGUUCUUUCAUUCACCAGACAGUGUAUCAGGGGCUACUAUCCAUACUAUGACACUCUUCGAAACCAUAUAAAACAUACCUCAAAACCUCUUAUAAGGUCGAUACAGGCUUCAUUCAGUUCAUUUUCAGCAGACUAAAUAUUCUCAAUCACCGCACCCAUAAGGGCACGGUGUUCAUCGACGAUGGAGGCGCUCUUCAGCGCCACCAAUAAAGCACCCGGCGCCUCUGGUUGGACAGAGGUUGCCGGUGGAACAUGGACGCCCUCUCCAGCCGAGGAAGGUUGCCUGCUUGAUUCCGGAGCCGUAUUGGUCUCCGAAGCUGUGUCCGGCUGGGGGUCGAAUUCAAGAUGGCCCCCACCGUCGACUCCUGUGGGGAUCUUCUCCCCCAUGUCUCCGGCCCCUGAAGUUUGACCUCCAGGCACCGCCUUCAUGAUUUUCUCCACCACUCCUUGGACGGAGUCCCUCUGGGGCGAAGCCUCGGUGUUGAUCACAUAGUUGGGGGGAGGGGCCUUCGGAGGUGUCCUGCUCUCCAUAGAAUCCGAGCUCAGCAAGUCCUCUGAUGAGGAUUGUUUGGAACGGGACCCGGUCGGACUACAAAAAAUAUGGCUAAGGUUAAAAUACUAUGCCAUGAUCGGUCCGGACACAUGAACGUGUUCGUAUUUUAUGUACUUACAAGUUCACUAGGGGCUUGGACCUAGGAUCCCACGCCGGGCUGCUAUCGGCGACUGCAGUGAACUCUUUCGGAAGAAGACAUUUUUCCCUUUUAGGAGACUCGGCCUCAAAGUAUACGGAGGCCGUCCUCUUCUUUCUCCCCCCGCUAGGGAUUCAUCUCCCUCCUCCUCGUCCUCUUCGGAGGCGGGACGGGCACGGUGACGAAGGCCGCCCCGGGUCUUUUUGGCCUCCUUUUCGGUCUUCUUCUCCGGCACCUUGUAAGGCACCGGGUCCACCGUCUUCGUCAGAAGUGGGCCGACCAAUUCUUCAGGCAGUGGGGCCGGACAUUGGAUCCGCCCCGCCUUCUUCUUCCAGCCCUAGGAAAGUUGUGUAAAACACAUUAAGCAUUACCCUUGAGUUAUGCGAAUAAAACGUAUGAUAACUUACCGAGCUUGCAGGGCGGGACAGUUGGUAUCCGUGGUCCUCGGCCGAGUCCGGCCAUGAUUUGUCGGGCUUUAAGAGCACCUUCCAGAUGUCUUUGUGCGUGGAGCCAAAGAGCUCUCGCAGGGUCUGGUGCUUGGGCGGAUCGAAUUCCCAUAGGUUGCAAGUCCAGUGUUGAGAAGGUAGGAUCCGAUGGACUAACAUCACCUGGACUACAUUGACAAGUUCGAUAUUCUUAUCUUUCGUAUGCUUGACGCACGUUUGGAGCGCCAACAAUUCAUCGGACGAAGACCAGUCCAGGCCCUUCUUAAGCCAGGACGCAAGCCGCAGAGGGGCUCCGGAUCGGAACUUGGGAGCAGCGGCCAACUCUGCGCCGCGCGGCUCAGUGAUGUAAAACCACUCCUAUUGCCACUCCCUGACGGAAUCAUUGAAGGUAACUAUUGUCCAUGUGAUGUUGGGCAUCUUGCUCACCAUAGCGCCCCCGCACUCAGCAUGCUCACCGCCCACGACCUUGGGCUUCACAUUAAAGAUCUUCAGCCAUAAGCCGCAGUGUAGCGGGAUGUGGAGAAAGGCCUCGCACACGACAAUGAAUGUCGAGAUGUUGAGAAAGGAAUUGGGGGAUAGAUCAUGAAAAUCGAUCCCGUAAUAAUACAUGAUGCCGUGAACAAAAGGAUGGAGGGGAAACCCUAGCCCGCGGAUAAAAUGGGGGAGGAAUACGACCCUUUCGUGCGGUUCCGGGGUAGGGACGAUCUGUCCCGCCAUCGGGAGACGGUGGACGAUUUUCUAGGCUAGAUACCUAACCUCCCGAAGUUUUUGAUGUCCUUCUUCCGGACAGUAGAGUCCAUCCACUUGCCUCCUGCUCCGGACAUAUUUGGAGUGGUUCUUCGGAGAAAAUGUAAACUUGGGUGCUGGAGCUCGAGUACACGAGAAUGGAUGGGCAGGAGAGAAGAAGGUGUGGGUAAAAAGGUGGAACCCUUAUCCCUUUAUAAGGGCGGAAGAAACUAUGUGCCUCCCCACCUACCUGGUGAAUUCGGUUAUUCCCCAAGCGCCGCGAUUAAUGGCACGGUUGGGUUACCCACACCCGUAUUGAUGAGAAUCCCGUGAUAAGGGGACACGAUCUCUGCUUCAACAAGACGUGCCAAGAAAACCGUCUCGCAAUAUGUGCAGAAGCUGGUUGAGAAAAACGGUUCAUGACCGGGCCAUGACGUGAUGUCAUGUUAUGAAAAGUUGUCGGCAGAUUAGAUUUAUGGAAAUAUUAUACUCUCUACGGUAGUAUGUGGAAUUUGUUUUCUAGAGCCGGAUACUAUCCUUGUGUUCAAAAUCAUCUAUGGAGUAUUCGGAGGAGGAACCUGCCUUGCAAUGUCGAAGAUGAUCUGCGCGCCGGACUCAUCGUCAUUGAAGCCUGGUUCAAGGGAUACUAAGGGAGUCCUGGAUUAGGGGGUCCUCGGACAGCCAUACUAUAUCCCUUAGCCGGACUGUUGGACUAUGAAGAUACAAGAUUGAAGACUUCGUCCCAUGUCCGGGUGGGACUCUCCUUUGCGUGGAAGGCAAGCUUGGCAAUUCGGAUAUGUCGAUCUCCUCCCUUGUAACUGACUCUGUGUAACCCUACCCCCUCCGGUGUCUAUAUAAACCAGAGGGUUUUGGUCCGUAGGACAACAACAAUCAUACCAUAGGCUAGCUUCUAGGGUUUAGCCUCUCCGAUCUCGUGGUAGAUCCACUCUUGUAAUACUCAUAUCAUCAAUAUCAAUCAAGUAGGAAGUAGGGUAUUACCUCCAUCGUGAGGGCCCGAACCUGGGUAAACAUUGUGUCCCCCGCCUCCUGUUACCAUCCACCAUAGACGCACAGUUCGGGACCCCCUACCCGAGAUCCGCCAGUUUUGACACCGAUAGUGGUACUCUUCCAUAUGUGCUGAAGUUAUUGAUCUCACCUGGAAAAUAGAUCGCAAAUUGUUUACUGUACUUUUCUUGUCCCUACAAAAUCAUAGUGGCUAGUUGAAAGCAAAAAUUGGUUGCAUAGUAGCUUUGUCCGGUUUGCACCUUCAGAUCUGCCAUGGCACGGUCAGUAUACUCGUAAAGCUUAUGGUUCCCCCCGCUUUAUAUUCACUCUCAUCAUCGUAGGUGCUUCGUGUCGUGCUAGCGCUGCUCCUCAAGACCUCAACCCAUCAAGGGAAACAACAUGCCACUCAUAAUUCCAAAGCUUAGGUGUUGAAAUACGAAUCUGAUAUGAUGCUCAUAUCACUAAACACAGAGAACAUUUAAUUGGUCACCUAAUGUUCCUAUAUUCGUUUCGGAAAUCAUGUGCGCCACCCAUUGGUCCAGCUAGUUCCACUUUCCUGAUUUUACUCUUGAUGCUUAGGGUUUUCCCCUUUUAUGUACUUUACUAUGAUCUGCGCAGGUGCUUUCUGUCGUACUAGCAUUACUCCACCCUUCAAGCUAAACAACACAACACUCAAAAUUCCAAAGCUUAGUUUUUCAAAUAUGAUUGUGAUAUGAUAUAGAUAUUAGUUAACAGACACAUUUAAUUGAUUAGCUAAAGGUCCCACUUGAGUUUCCAAAUGCAUGCCAUGACAUAUAGAGAGACAACAGAAUUGCAUUUCUUUGUCACUUGUUGACUGUACUUUCUUAUUCAUACCAAAUCUUAGUUGUUAUUUCAAACCAAACAUCGGUUUCUAACUACCCUUUGCGUGGUUUGCAGCUUCAGAUCUGCCAUCCCACUGCCACGGUCAACACUAUACUCAUCAUGCUUACGAUUUACCCAUUUAUGAUGACCAUGAUCAGCCUACGUGGUUUGUGUCGUGAUAGCAUUGCUCCACCCAUUGAUCUAAACAAGCUUAGUUGUACAAAUUCAAAUAUGAUAUUAUACUGAUAUUAGUAAAACUGAGAGAUGCUUAAUUGGUCAGCUAAAUGUUCCUACUUUAGUUUCGAAAUGCAUGUGAGCCACAUAUGGUGAGACCGAAAGGAAUAGUAUUUCUCUAUGCGCUCUGGUUCAUCAUGGGUGGGCAACCGACAUUGUAUAGAAAGACUUGUAAUAUCUUCAAUCUCCUUGCUCUUUUGCUCUCCUUUAAGAUGAUCCUCUUCUCUUCUUCAAUAAGUAUGUUCCUUGUUGGGAAGAGUUGCAGAGACAUUUGCGGUCGACUGGUUAGGUCGAGUUGUUCUCCCUUAGUAUAUUUUGAAUCUGUCAGGUCAGGUCUACUUGUUUUUCUUUACUAUAUGUUGAAGCUGUCAUCUACGAACUAUCAUCACUUCUGGAGCUCUCAUAUUUUGAGUAGUAAGCCACAUUAUAUUAAUACACACACCAAAUUACAUCAUGCAUGGCAUCUCUCAGAAGAAUUGCAAAGAUAGCACAAAGGGCUUUACAGGGAGGCAGUAUUGGAUUAGAAUCACUUCUGCAUUACAAAGAUAAUCUCACUUGUUUUUAUGUUUUCAUGCAUGUCAACUUUUGAAGAUUAUUAAAAUGAAUAUGAGAAUGGGCGCAUGAGAGGAAUAUUGCGGAACAAUCCACUAGCUAAGAAACUUGGCAUGGUGGAGGAUGGCCUAUCUUAUUCACCCAUCAAGGUGCUUGCUCUAACUUGGCAAGGUUGUAUUGGUCGCACAUAUUUUGCAUCUGACCUCUAGCAUUACUUCUACUUUGUUACACCAUCUACUUAGUUUAAGCAUCAUAUAUGAGUAUAUGCCAUACCUAUCCAUUUUUUGUACCUAUUCCAUGUGUCGUCAUACUAUGUUUUUGCAGUCAAAUGUUGUUCUUUCAUAAUAGAUGUCCAAAAUGAAGAGGGUGAGUGCAGAUCCUCAAGGAGUACAAACUAGGUAUUUGGAAAAGGUAGUGAUACCUGUUAAAUCAGAUAGAUCAGCAGCCACAGAAAACACAGGCUCAACUGUACCACACUUUACCCCUACUCCACUGGCCAAACGCCAAUUAGAACUGCUGAGAGACCAGCGUCAGGUACUGUCUAUGAUAUUAAUUCAAAAUUUUAAUUCCUAAAUUUCUUCAUGUGCCUUCCCUUCUCUCUUGUAUGAAAACUAAUUUAAGAUGAAUCUCCUUGCUCAAAGGAUCAUAGGAUCUCACAACAAUACUAGGCUCUGCAUUGCUCUUGUCAGUACCUCCCGCCCUUUGUCAGCAUAAUUACACUCAUCGCUAUUUGAUUAUGUAGCAUCACUGUAAAUGUUCACUUCUUUAUCCUCCCUUUGCAUGAAAUUAUAAGAUCUAUAUUUACUCUUAGAUAAAUGUAGAAUUAACACAAUGGUUAUGAAGUUUUGGAUUUCUCAUGUAAGUACCUGUUGUCAUGCACUCCCUCUGUAUUGAAUUAACUAUUGAUCAGUUGGAUGUAUUUAGAACUUAAUAGUGCUAGAUACAUCCAUUUGAGUGACAAGUAACAAUAGACGAUGGUGGUAUUACUGUACUUGCAUCGCGAGAUAGUUGAUUGUCUAGCAUUACUCUGCAUCUUAUCUGCCCUACCCUUCACUUUCUCCAAAUUAUCAUAUCUACAUUUACUCUUACCAAAAUGUUGAAUAAAGCCAAUGCCACUUCACACGUUGAUGUCUGCAUUCCUCUUGUCAGUACCUUUUGCCUUGUAACACUGUACUUAAUUAAUUGCUAUUUGAUUAUGUAUCAUCAGUCUGCACCUGAGCUUCAUUAUCCUCUAUUUCUUCCAAUAUUAUUUGAUCUAUAUUUACUCUUUGCAAAAUUUAGAAUAAUGGCAACGCUUAUAAAGAAUUUUCUUUCGGGAAUUUAUUGAAUUAUUCUUCCAUCAACAUGGAGAAGGGCUUUAUCCAGCCCGUGUUAACAUGUAAUGUAAGUUCAUCCUUCUCAAGCAUUCAAACUUUGUUCUAGUAUAGAUUUGGAUAGGCAUCAUUUCCUCCACUGCUGUUUACUUUGCUGUUUACAUCUGAUUGGAUGUUUGCAACAACUACCAGUUUUAAAUGGUAGUUGUAAAAACAUGUUCCUUAUGCAGAACAAAUCCAUUUAUUUUCUUAUAUAAUUGUGAAACCUGUUACGUGUCUCCUUGUUUCUCUUUCAGAGUCAUAUCUCUUAUGCCAAGCAGAAAUUUAGGGAAGAUAGUGAGCCAAAUCAUCUUGAGGACAGCGAGAUGACCCCAAGCUCCUAUCUUGAUGAAGACACUGAGUUGAAGCUACUCAACAGUAGGUGUGAGACAACCUCUGUGCAGUCGCUGCCUCAAUCAGUUCGACUUCUUCAGUCUCAAAUUAAAGUGGAAAGGCUUGCUUUAGCUCAACUCCGACUUGAAGUUAAAGAUGCAAUGAAGAUAUCAGAGGACUGCCGUGCGCACUAUGGUGCCAUACAGCUAGGGAUGGAGCAUCUAUCGUUGACACAACUAAGGUCUCGUCAGCUUGUUCGGCUGCUUGUGGGGCCUGUCCUGGCCAUGCCUAGUGCUUUCUGAAGUGAUCUCAGUUUUUUAUAUUCUUUUGUUGGCGCAUUUAUUUGCACUGGUGGCGAUCUUUGAUGCCCAAUGUAUGUAAUCCGCGGUCACGUUGCGCUUUAUUAUCACCGGUAGCGAACUUUCAUUACUAGUGAUGUAAUAUGCCGUAAUUUUUUUAUUGUAUAGUCUAGGUUUAUUCUUUGGUCGGUAUGCUAUAAUUUAGGCCGGAAGGUUUAGUGGAUCUCAGUUUUGUCGGUCUUCAGGCCAGCCCAUUACUCAUAUGGGUCAAAACAUGGCCAGCUGGGCCAGAGAAUACCAUGGGCUUUUAAUAGGCUAAAACCUAGAUUGGGCUAGCGUUGACCCGAAAAAUUAAUGGGCCAAUACAGGCCAAAACUGCCUAAGGCCCAUGUUGGGCCCAAAUAAGACGAGCAGUUAACAUGCCAAAAUAUAUCUCGGGCCUAUUGGCCCAAUAAAUUAUGGGCUUUAAGCAGGGCGGUAUCCAUGCGAGCCAUAGGCCCAAAAGUGUCACGGGCCAUUAUGAGAUGGGCUGUAAGCAGGCCGGAUUCAACACGGGCUGUAAUUAGGCCCAACGGUUACACGGGCCAUUAAUAGGCCAAUAGGCCAGUUGGGCUGAAAUUUAUCCAUGAAGACUACGGGUUGUUAAGAGGCCUAAAGUUACUUCAGGCAAGAAAUAGCCCUGUUUCCACAUGGCCCGUUAGAUGGCCUAAAGUUAAACCGGGCCGACAACGUCCCAGAUGCACCACGGGCCGCUAACAGGCCGAAACUAUUACCAGGACGAACUAGUAAACAAGAAUUUAAUAGGCCGAAAUACAAACCUGUCUUACAUUGGGCCCAAAAGAACAGUGGCCUGUUAACGGGCCUGAUCCGAUGUCGGUCGUAAUUUGGCCCAAAACUCGGCAGGCUGUGAAUGGGCCUGAUCUGGUAUGGGCCUCAAUUUUGCCCAAAACAUAGCACUCUGUUAACGGGCCAACACACUAGUGUCUGGAAAAACAUGGUGGGCCUUUAUCUAGGCCGACCUUUUCACCGAAAUGGGCCUCUGUUGGGCCGUGACAUGUGUCGACGUACUAUAGGCGCCUCCUGUCCAAUGAGUGGAUGACAUCUAUCCCAACAGUGAGCCAGCAUGUGUUUCCUCCAGCCAAUGAGAAUUUUACACGUGGAAAAUCCCAAUUAGUCUAGGCUAUUAAUGGGUUAUCGGAUCCAAAACCGGACCCGAUAGCUUAACGGCGACCCGUUACGGUCGAUGCCACAUGUCGGUCACCCUUGAUGAAAGCACUUCUAUAACGCAUGAUUUAUUGUCAUGGAAGUGGACACUUCUAUGAUGAUAUUUUUGGUAAUGUCAUGGAUAACUUCUACGACAACAGAGAUAUGAUUAUCUUGAUUCUGUCAUAAAAUUGUCAUGGAUGUACACGCAUGACAAAAAACGUGACCUACUUUGAUGAACACAUAUCAUCACGGAAGUGUAUUUUUUUGUAGUGCGAUUACAUGAUGAAUCUCAUCCAACUCCUCACCGACCAGCGAGCCUACGAAGAAAUUACUCACUCUCGGUGGGGAGCAUCAUGGGAUUGGCGAUGGAGAAAGGUUGGUGAUGACGAAGAACGAGGACCCCCCCCUCUCCGGAGCCCCAAACGGACUCCAGAUCUGCCCUCCCAAGGAAGAACAGGGCUUGGUGUCAGCUAUAUCUCGUGGAUCGCAAUAGUUCUUUCUCCCUUGAUUUUUUUCUCCGUAAAUAGGAUUUUAUAGUGUUGGUUUCAGGGUUUGCGGAGCCACCAGGUGGGGACAACCCACCUUUGGCGCACCAGGAGAGGGGGGCGCGCCCUGGUGAGUUGUGCCCACCCAGGGGCCCCUCUUCGGUAGGUCUUGGCUCCAGAAAUUCUUAUAUAUUAUAUAAAAAUUCCUCACAGAGUUUCGUUCCAUUCCAAGAACUUUUAUUUCUGCACAAAAACAACACCAUGGUAGUUCUGCUGAAAAUAGCGCCAGUCCGGGGUUAGUUUCAUUCAAAUCAUGCAAAUUAGAGUCCAAAACAAGAGGAAAAGCAUUAGGAAAAGUAGAUAGGUUGGAGACGUAUCAACUCCCCCAAGCUUAAACCUUUUCUUGUCCUCAAGCAAUUCAGUUGAAAACUGAAGUGAAAAAUAAAAACUUUUAUGAACUCUUUUGCUCUUGUUUGCAUAAAUAAGCUUAAACAACACCUAGGUUUUCAGCCAACAUUAUAACUAACCAUGCUGACAAUAACUCUUAAAGAUUAUAUUAACUCAUAUCAAUGACAUAAUCAGCUAGCGAGCAAUAAUAAAACAUCUCAAAUGGCAACACGUUGUCAAAACAACAAUGAUAUAAUAUGACAAUAGUGGUAUCUCACUAGCCCUUUCUGAGACCGCAAAACAUAAAUGCAGAGCACCUCCAAAGUCCAAGCAGCGACUAAACAUUGUAAUUCAUGGCAGAAAAGAUCCAGUCAUGAUGCAUCCAACAUUAGCUACACAUAAUGCAUAAGUCAUGACAACUAUGCUAUCUCAGUUUCUAGCGCUUGUUUUAGAAUGUGAUGACACAACAUAAAAGUAAAUAGAUAGUCCUUUCGCAGAGGGAAGCAGUGAUUUGCAGAGGUGCCAGAGCUCAAGUUUUAAAAUAGAGAUAAAUGUUAUUUUGAGACAUGCACCCUUCUCAUUCACUUCACGACUAUCAGUUAUCAAUAUCUCCCAUGCUAAACAAGCUAGUGACGGUUCCCAAGCGGUAAAAGUAAAGGUUUUGACUCCAUUGGGAGUUUUUGUUUGAUUAUUCGAUCGAUUAACUCUUUUUGUAUUUUUCAGUUUGGGAUUUGGCAUCCCUAUUACCGCCCUUUUCUCGUGCGAUGGUGAGUGAAUAAACACUCGAACUGAGAAUAACCCGCUUAGCAUGGAAGAUACCGACCACCUCCUGUCGUUACAUGAACGAUCCAUGCACAUAAAACGGAUAUUUUGUAGAAGUCUUUAGAGAUGGCACAUGCAAAUUUACAUAGGACGGCAGGGUAAUAACGCAUAUAGGUGGAUAUGGUGGACUCAUCUGGAAUAACUUUGGGUUCAAAGUUUUGAUGUAGAAGCAGAAUCCCCACUUAGUACAGGCGAAGGCUAGAAAUUAGACUGAGAAGCGGGCACCUAGAGAGCAACAACAAUCAUGAUCAUGCAUUAUGCACAAGUAGCAUUGGACACUAGCAUGAGUAGGAUAUGAACACCAUGAACAUAAAUAUCAUAGAGGCUAUGUUUGUUUUGAUUCAACUACAUGCAUGAACAUGUGCCAAGUCAAGCCACUUGAACAUUCAGAGGAGGAUACCAUAUCAUCAUACUACAUCACAAUCAUUUUAACGCAAUGUUGAUAUCCAAGAUAAAUCAUUAUUCACUCCCAGCUACUUAUGCAUGGCAUGAGAAACUAUAAUCUCUAAUUGUCAUUGCAAACAUGUUUAAUCAUAAUGGGUUGAAUCAUGGAUAGUAGAUUAAACAUAUUUACACAAACAGAGCAACUCCAGUUCAUACUAGUUUCUCUCUGCCAGGGCCAGUUCAUUGAAUAUCGUCAUUAUUACCUUUCACUUACAUGACCGAACGAUGGGAGAAUAAUAAUAGUGCAAGAGUGCCAUGGACUAAGCUGGAAUCUGCAAAACAUUUUAUUCAACAGGAGAAGACAAGGUAAAACGGGCUCUUUAUUAGUUCAACAAUUAUUCAAAUGAGAGCCACUCAACAUUUUCAUCAUGGUCUUCUCCUUGGUACAACCUGAAUAAAUGAAAAGAAAUUCGGAGAAACACACUGAAAUAUUUUUGGAGUUUUUGGUUUUCUUGAACAAGCAAAUAAAAGUGAAAAGCAAAA
rnacentral:lncRNA from 1 species